AGGACGAACGCUGGCGGCGUGCUUAACACAUGCAAGUCGAACGAUGAAGCCUUUCGGGGUGGAUUAGUGGCGAACGGGUGAGUAACACGUGGGCAAUCUGCCCUGCACUCUGGGACAAGCCCUGGAAACGGGGUCUAAUACCGGAUAUUACCUGCCGAGGCCAUCUUGGUGGGUGUAAAGCUCCGGCGGUGCAGGAUGAGCCCGCGGCCUAUCAGCUUGUUGGUGGGUGAGUGGCCUACCAAGGCGACGAC
rnacentral:rRNA from 1 species